GGUCACUGUUAACUUUCAUUGUUUCUUUGGAGGCUGCAAAACGGUGGCCUAGAUUCGUGUAAAAGCUAUUUUCUACCGACCACAUCUUUCUGGGUUCUAUUGUUUCUGGAAAAGGUUGCACAUCACAUAAUAGGAAAUCCCAAGAGUGUGAAGACUGUUUCCUGCCAGUGGAAGCCUUGUUGUGGUUGGCUGUUCUGACCAUAGAGACACUGAGAAAAAUCUCAGGAUUAACAGUUGAGGCCCAUCAUCAAGGUAACUCCACCUGAAAUUCUCUUUUCACUCCGGGAUCCCCAAGACCCGGGGAUUCGCAAGCCUUCUGAUAGCCAACCUUGCUGACCCAAGGUUCCCAGAAGUACUUUCCACCCUGCAGAAUCCUGACGUGAAUAGCUACACUUGAAAGAAAAUAGCAGUCCUCACUCCUGCCAUUGAGACCCUGUUGACUGACUGGGCUGGCUUGGUCAGAUUAUCUUUGUCUCAGCAGAUUUUCACUUGGCCAACAGACACCAUCAAGGAAUCGCCUAAGGACUGCAAACUGCACUAGAAGCAGUUACAGAAGAGAGUGUUAUCCUUUGCCACUGCACCUCCUCCAGCUCCCGAUCCACUCUCUACCCCACACACAGGCUGAAACUCUAAGUCAAAAGGAAACUUCCUGGCAUAGGGAACAAAAUGGAUAUCUAUAAUGCCAAUUGACAUACCCGAAAAGUGGGUCCAUUAAUGAAAAUAGUCCUACCAUAUAAUAGGAUACUUGCCCUGCUUUAUGCAGAAUAAAGGAGUACUAUAUAGCUUUGAACAAAUUGUUAUUUCUGUACAAUCCAUUCGGGAUUAUAAUGGGGCUGUACUCAAAAAACAUCACAAAAAGAAUCCCUGAGAUAAAAUAAAUGACUGGUGCCCCAUCCAUCUCCAGGCUUCUAGAUAGUAACUCUGAUGUCAGCCAUCAUAGGUCCUUACUUCUACUAAUUACAUUUGGUUCUUAUGUCACUGAUACAAUAACUAAAUGUUAAUCCCUGUCUGGGUCCUAUUAAACUGAUGAUUAUAAGAUUCUAAGAUAAACAAGUACCCAUCACAGAGCCAAGAAUUUGACCAGAGACACAACUCCAGUGGGGGGUGUAAUGCCCAAAAUUAGCCCGUAAGCCCCAUCUGCCCAAGGACCAAGUAACUUCCUAGAAUGCUGGGAAUUAUAGUUCUUGGAAAAUACUAAAGUCUCAUAGGAAAGUAUGGUGGCCUAUAGGUUUGUCUUUAUUAACCCUUGCAACCUGUGUCUCAGGACCACUCACCUGGGAAAUCCCAGGGAGUGGGCCUGACCAAAGUCCACCUUGCUCAGUAUUUAAUAUUUAAUAAGAUUACUUCGAAUUUGGCCCAAAAUGGUGGAGCUUGGUUUUCUCUGGUGAAUCUCAGCAUUAACACAACUUUCUCCCCAGUACAUACUCAUGGCAAAGUAUCUCCUUUGCCCCCAUUAUCAAGGAAAGAGGCAAGGCCUGGAUGUGGACCUUGUGAAGGAAAAGUAGACUGAACAAGAUCAGCUACACAAACUAGGUUCUAGAAAGCUCUCUGAUCUUAAAUGCAUUGAUUUUAUUAGAUUCUGGACACAUUAAUUAAUACAAACUUAUGUUUCAGUCCU
ensembl:lincRNA 1700007F19Rik RIKEN cDNA 1700007F19 gene